rnacentral:rRNA from 1 species
AGAACGAACGCUGGCGGCAGGCCUAACACAUGCAAGUCGAACGCCGUAGCAAUACGGAGUGGCAGACGGGUGCGUAACGCGUGGGAACAUACCCUUUGGUUCGGAAUAACUCAGGGAAACUUGAGCUAAUACCGGAUAAGCCCUUACGGGGAAAGAUUUAUCGCCAAAGGAUUGGCCCGCGUCUGAUUAGCUUGUUGGUGAGGUAAUGGCUCACCAAGGCGACGAUCAGUAGCUGGUCUGAGAGGAUGAUCAGCCACACUGGGACUGAGACACGGCCCAGACUCCUACGGGAGGCAGCAGUGGGGAAUAUUGGACAAUGGGCGAAAGCCUGAUCCAGCCAUGCCGCGUGAGUGAUGAAGGCCUUAGGGUUGUAAAGCUCUUUUACCCGGGAAGAUAAUGACUGUACCGGAGAAUAGCCCGGCUAACUUCGUGCCAGCAGCCGC